AUACGGAGGGUGCAAACGUUGUUCGGAAUUACUGGGCGUAAAGCGCGCGUAGGCGGUUUGUUAAGUCAGAUGUGAAAGCCCAAGGCUCAACCUUGGACGUGCAUUUGAAACUGGCAGACUUGAGUACUGGAGGGGAUGGUGGAAUUCCCGGUGUAGAUGUGAAAUUCGUAGAUAUCGGGAGGAAUACCGGUGGCGAAGGCGACCAUCUGGCCAGAUACUGACGCUGAGGUGCGAAAGCAUGGGGAGCAAACAGGAUUAGAAACCCUAGUAGUCC
rnacentral:rRNA from 1 species